CGGGGCGUGGCGCAGCUUGGCUAGCGCGCACCGUUCGGGUCGGUGAGGUCGUGGGUUCGAAUCCCGCCGCCCCGA
rnacentral:tRNA from 1 species